UUCUUCGGACAUAUUGCUCGUAAAGAGG
rnacentral:sRNA from 1 species